rnacentral:lncRNA from 1 species
ACACACACAAUGAAAUAGAGAGAGAGAGAGAGAGAGAGAGAUAGAGAGAAUACAAUGAACUACAAUACAACGGGAUACAUUGAAAUACAAUGAAAAAAGAUAGUGAAUAUAAUGAAAUACAUGGAAUAUAGCGAGAUACAUUGAAUUACAAUGAAAACAAAGACAAUGAAUACAAGGAAAUACAUGAAAAUACAUUGAAAUAUAUUAAUAGAAAGCAAGUUGCUCGACCCCAAACUCCGUUGUCUUUGUUUAAGAACAAACCCUAAUUUUCAGCAAAUUUUUUGGAGGUACACCGGAGGUAAAAGAACUCCAGCGCAGGAAGAGAGCUAUCCCGCGAUAAGGCAUAGCCAAGAGGAGGGGAAAUAACAGCAACGUCAAUAUAACAACCUAGGGCCGUCAUCUCUUCUUCUUCUUCCGUUCUUUCAAAACCAAAUACAAACAUAAAUUAUCUUACAAUACAAAAAUUAAGCCAAACCUGGAACACUUUCUAAUCCGAAUGCCAUAGAGCCACUUCAAUGGAAGAAAUUGCUAGAUGAAUUGUACUAACAUUAUUACUAAAAACAGCUAAUUUGGGUACUUCAUUAUCUACAUUAUUGCAUCAAUUCGAUGGAAGAAUUGAUCGGAAUAAAAAGAAAAUAGUGCGGGUGAGAGGAAUUUUGAGAUUGAGC